GUUACCUAGGCUAGUCUCAAACUCCUGGCCUGAAGGGAUCCUCCUGCUUCAGCCUCCUAAACUGCUGGGAUUACAGAAAGGACUGAGCCAAUUCUGAUCAGCAGGCAGCAGCCAUUACCCUCUGAAGGUCAACGCAGUUAGGUGCAGUGACAGACACACUUGGAGGUGCCACAGCCUCCUGCGUGUCCUUGUACUCCAUGUCCAUUUGGUCUUCUUCACUGUGGGGCAUCCUCCUGGCCAACAAUAACUCCGACCAUCUUCAGGUGCUUGGCUGAAGAAAUAGCUUGCUGUAGAUGUCUCCUCUGCUUUCAUGGACCAGCGUUGGCAGUGCGACGAGCUUGAUUUCUCAGACCAGCUAGUUGGUGACUCCUCCGCUCUGCACACUUCCCUCUCAUACCUUCUCUUCUCUAGCUCCUCCUGCAACUGGCAAGGUCUCGUUCCCGUAAUAGAUCUCUCAUCCCAUGACCCAUUCUGGUUCUGCCCACCUGAGGAACCCUGGAGGAUGCCCCUGAAUAUUACCAUCUGCAGUGGGCAGUGUUCUCUCUGUCCCUUGAGGUUAUGAAAUUUCCAUCUUGUUCAACUUCAGAGAAGUAGAGUAUGUUCUAGCCCAGGAAGGACACUCACUCUCUCACUCACUCUGAUUUUGGCAGGUUCUAAAUCUGUCAUAACCUCACACAUCCAGUUAUUCAUGGACAAGGGAACAUGAGCUCAAUCUGACUUCUGCUUUUGGAGAGAAAGUGGGUGACCUGAUGUGUUUCUGAGAAAUGAGUCUAGGGAGGUGUGUGCCCCACUCUCUGCUCACUGCAUAUGUCCCCAUUGCAAGCACAUUUGUACCCCAGUGCUCAUCUUUACCUUUAUGAUGUCCUCCCAGGUGAGAAAUCACCCAAGUGGUCAUUGCCACCCCCUACUAUUUCAGUGUUUGGGGUUUUGGAAAUGAUUUACUGACAUUGUAUCAGAGCAUAGUAACAUUUAAUCAGGGGCUGGCUUUCUCAAGGACAAAUAUUUUCUGACAUCAGUUCCUAAGCAGAAGAGGCCAACAGCAUCUGAGGAUCCCUUUGUUUGGGUUUCUGGCAGUUACCUCCCUUCCCAGGGUGAACAGUGACUCUGCUGUAUGAGGAUUUACUUAUCUUCCUGUCCUGUGUUUUUGACAUUCUGAACAAAGUUUCUGGGGAGUAAACUUUAUGUUUAAACCAUGUUUAUGUUAAGCUUUAUCUGUUCAAAAAUCAAGUAUAUAUAGUUGAUCAUAAAAUAAUGACAUUAUAGAAAAUGUGAACAAAUAUAGAAAUGUUUU
rnacentral:lncRNA from 1 species